UGGCGGAUUGUGUAGCGGUAGCACAACGGUCUUUGGAGCCGUUUGGGGUGGUUCGAAUCCACCUCCGCCAACCA
rnacentral:tRNA from 1 species